rnacentral:tmRNA from 1 species
GGGCCUGUUUCGGAUUCGAUUGCAAGCGGAAUUUGUCGGAUGCACGCCAGAGGCUCGGCUCUGUCAAAACGGAAAAAUUUUAAAUGCUGAUAAAAGCAGAAGAUCCGGUGUUGCGCGCCGUGCUGGCCGCGUAGCACUUGCGGCUUAACAGUUUAAGCUCCGUCCUGCCUCGAUUGCCUACGGUCGAGAACAGGGCGUCAAUCAAGUAGGGUACGUCCCGCGGCGGAACACUUCCGCUUCCGUGGGAGGCAUUUAGGGAAGUAUGUCAAACGACAGGUUGUUUGUGGACUUUCGUUUGACGAGAUCGAUCACAAACUAAGCGUGUAGUAUCCGCGGAGGAACCUUGUAAGACCGCAGUUCAAUUCUGCGCAGGUCCACCA